UACGGGGGGAGCAAGCGUUGUUCGGAUUUACUGGGCGUAAAGGGCGCGUAGGCGGCCACUGCAAGUCAGUUGUGAAAUCUCCGGGCUUAACCCGGAAAGGUCAACUGAUACUGCAGGGCUAGAGUGCAGAAGGGGCAACUGGAAUUCUCGGUGUAGCGGUGAAAUGCGUAGAUAUCGAGAGGAACACCUGCGGCGAAGGCGGGUUGCUGGGCUGACACUGACGCUGAGGCGCGAAAGCCAGGGAGCGAACGGG
rnacentral:rRNA from 1 species